rnacentral:rRNA from 1 species
AUUGAACGCUGGCGGCAUGCCUUACACAUGCAAGUCGAACGGUAACGCGGGGCAACCUGGCGACGAGUGGCGAACGGGUGAGUAACGCAUCGGAACGUGCCCAGUAGUGGGGGAUAGCCCGGCGAAAGCCGGAUUAAUACCGCAUACGACCUACGGGUGAAAGGGGGGAGUCGCAAGACCUCUCGCUAUUGGAGCGGCCGAUGUCAGAUUAGGUAGUUGGUGGGGUAAAAGCCUACCAAGCCGACGAUCUGUAGCUGGUCUGAGAGGACGACCAGCCACACUGGGACUGAGACACGGCCCAGACUCCUACGGGAGGCAGCAGUGGGGAAUUUUGCGCAAUGGCCGAAAGGCUGACGCAGCGACGCCGCGUGUGGGAUGAAGGCCUU